GACGAACGCUGGCGGCGUGCUUAACACAUGCAAGUCGAACGGAAAGGCCCUGCUUUUGUGGGGUGCUCGAGUGGCGAACGGGUGAGUAACACGUGAGUAACCUGCCCUUGACUUUGGGAUAACUUCAGGAAACUGGGGCUAAUACCGGAUAGGAGCUCCUGCUGCAUGGUGGGGGUUGGAAAGUUUCGGCGGUUGGGGAUGGACUCGCGGCUUAUCAGCUUGUUGGUGGGGUAGUGGCUUACCAAGGCUUUGACGGGUAGCCGGCCUGAGAGGGUGACCGGCCACACUGGGACUGAGAUACGGCCCAGACUCCUACGGUAGGCAGCAGUGGGGAAUAUUGCACAAUGGGCGGAAGCCUGAUGCAGCAACGCCGCGUGCGGGAUGACGGCCUUCGGGUUGUAAACCGCUUUCGCCUGUGACGAAGCGUGAGUGACGGUAAUGGGUAAAGAAGCACCGGCUAACUACGUG
rnacentral:rRNA from 1 species